UAGUUGGUGAUGAGUUCAGAU
rnacentral:siRNA from 1 species